AGAGUUUGAUUAUGGCUCAGGAUGAACGCUGGCGGCAGGCUUAAUACAUGCAAGUCGAACGGUAAGGUCCGAAGUGGCAACACGGAGGAUACACGAGUGGCGCACGGGGUGCGUAACGCGUAUGCAACCUGCCCCCGACCGGGACAAAACAGCUGGAAACGGCUGCUAAUAUCCCAUGGUCAUGCGGAAGGGCAUCCUUCUUCAUGUAAAGAUUCAUUGGUCGGGGAUGGGCAUGCGUAUUAUUAGGUAGUUGGCGGGGUAACGGCCCACCAAGCCGACGAUGAUUAGGGGUCCUGAGAGGGUUAACCCCCACACUGGAACUGAGACACGGUCCAGACUCCUACGGGAGGCAGCAGUAGGGAAUAUUGGGCAAUGGGAGCAAUCCUGACCCAGCCAUGCCCGCGUGAAGGAAGACGGCCCUAUGGGUUGUAAACUUCUUUUGCCGCAGAGUAAACCCGGUCACGAGUGGUCGGUUGAGAGUAUGCGGCGAAUAAGUAUCGGCUAACUCCGUGCCAGCCGCGGC
rnacentral:rRNA from 1 species